rnacentral:rRNA from 1 species
CCUACGGGCUGCAGCAGUGGGGAAUAUUGCACAAUGGGCGCAAGCCUGAUGCAGCGACGCCGCGUGAGGGAUGACGGCCUUCGGGUUGUAAACCUCUUUCAGUAGGGAAGAAGCGAAAGUGACGGUACCUGCAGAAGAAGCGCCGGCUAACUACGUGCCAGCAGCCGCGGUAAUACGUAGGGCGCAAGCGUUAUCCGGAAUUAUUGGGCGUAAAGAGCUCGUAGGCGGUUUGUCGCGUCUGCCGUGAGAGUCCGGGGCUCAACUCCGGAUCUGCGGUGGGUACGGGCAGGCUAGAGUGAUGUAGGGGAGACUGGAAUUCCUGGUGUAGCUGUGAAAUGCGCAGAUAUCAGGAGGAACACCGAUGGCGAAGGCAGGUCUCUGGGCAUUAACUGACGCUGAGGAGCGAAAGCAUGGGGAGCGAACAGGAUUAGAUACCCGUGUAGUC